rnacentral:rRNA from 1 species
UUGGGAAUCUUGGACAAUGGGGGAAACCCUGAUCCAGCCAUGCCGCGUGAGUGAUGAAGGCCUUCGGGUUGUAAAACUCUUUCGACGGGGACGAUAAUGACGGUACCCGUAGAAGAAGCUCCGGCUAACUUCGUGCCAGCAGCCGCGGUAAUACGAAGGGGGCUAGCGUUGUUCGGAAUUACUGGGCGCAAAGCGCGCGCAGGCGGUUUUCCAAGUCAGUGGUGAAAGCCCGGAGCUCAACUCCGGAACUGCCAUUGAAACUGUUGAACUUGAGGACGAGAGAGGUGAGUGGAAUUCCCAGUGUAGAGGUGAAAUUCGUAGAUAUUGGGAAGAACACCAGUGGCGAAGGCGGCUCACUGGCUCGUUUCUGACGCUCAGGCGCGAUAGCGUGGGGAUCAAACA